GGGAAUUUUCCGCAAUGGGCGAAAGCCUGACGGAGCAAUGCCGCGUGGAGGUGGAAGGCCUACGGGUCGUCAACUUAUUUUCUCGGAGAAGAAACAAUGACGGUAUCUGAGGAAUAAGCAUCGGCUAACUCUGUCCCAG
rnacentral:rRNA from 1 species